rnacentral:rRNA from 1 species
UCCAGACUCCUACGGGAGGCAGCAGUGAGGAAUAUUGGUCAAUGGGCGCGAGCCUGAACCAGCCAAGUCGCGUGAGGGAUGACGGCCCUACGGGUUGUAAACCUCUUUUGCCGGGGAGCAACGGGCGCCACGUGUGGCGCCACUGAGAGUGCCCGGAGAAAAAGCAUCGGCUAACUCCGUGCCAGCAGCCGCGGUAAUACGGAGGAUGCGAGCGUUAUCCGGGUUUAUUGGGUUUAAAGGGUGCGUAGGUUGUUUUAUAAGUUAGCGGUGAAAUACCGAUGCUCAACAUCGGGGCUGCCGCUAAAACUGUAGGACUAGAGAUCGGAUGCAGCAGGCGGAAUGUGUAGUGUAGCGGUGAAAUGCAUAGAUAU